GACGAACGCUGGCGGCGGGCUUAACACAUGCAAGUCGAACGGAAAGGCCCUGCUUUUGUUGCGUUCUCGAGUGGCGAACGGGUGAGUAACACGUGAGUAACCUGCCCUUGACUUUGGGAUAACUUCAGGAAACUGGGGCUAAUACCGGAUAGGAGCUCCUGCUGCAUGGUGGGGGUUGGAAAGGUUCGGCGGUUGGGGAUGUACUCGCGGCUUAUCAGCUUGUUGGUGGGGUAGUGGCUUACCAAGGCUUUGACGGGUAGCCGGCCUGAGAGGGUGACCGGCCACAUGGGGACUGAGAUACGGCACAGAGUCCUACGGGAGGCAGCAGUGGGGAAUAUUGCACGAUGGGCGGAAGCCUGAUGCAGCAACGCCGCGUGCGGGAUGACGGCCUUCGGGUUGUAGACCGCUUUCGCCGGUGACGAAGCGUGAGUGACGGUAAUGGGUAAAGAAGCACCGGCUAACUACGUG
rnacentral:rRNA from 1 species